GUCCACGCCGUAAACGGUGGGCACUAGGUGUGGGGGACAUUCCACGUUCUCCGUGCCGAAGCUAACGCAUUAAGUGCCCCGCCUGGGGAGUACGGCCGCAAGGCUAAAACUCAAAGGAAUUGACGGGGGCCCCGCACAAGCGGCGGAGCAUGCGGAUUAAUUCGAUGCAACGCGAAGAACCUUACCUGGGUUUGACAUACACCGGAAAGCUACAGAGAUGUAGCCCCCGCAAGGUCGGUGUACAGGUGGUGCAUGGCUGUCGU
rnacentral:rRNA from 1 species